UGGACAUUUAUUUUGAGUCAGUUUCUUCUGAAGAUGAAGAUAACUUUCUGUAAAUGUCCUAGAGAAAUAUAGUAGCUUUCUGUUUACCCUUUGUGAGUAGAAAGGGUGGAUCGUUCCACUACUGACAUAU
ensembl:scaRNA